rnacentral:lncRNA from 1 species
UUAAUUUAUUUUAAAUUAAACCUAGAUAUUUUGGAUUUUAAAAUGGUUGUGAAGAUCAUGUAGUGACCUUAAACAUGAUUAAUGGCUUGAGUGCUAGUUAUGGUUAGUUUACUCUACAUAAAUUGAGGACAGAGAGAACUGGUGGUUUUGCUCAAUUAAAGUUUUGAAAUUUGGAUUUUCUUACUCCUAGUGCAAAGCGAUAUAUCGGUCAUAAAUCAUUUAGAGGCUUUAGAGUAUUUAA